CCACCACCGAGUUAGGGUGUGACUAUUUCAGGAAAGAUCGGACCACUAUAAUACAGACGCAGGUGUUGCUUGGUGACAGGCCUCCUUAAGACCCCAAACACUGAUGCUGAGCUGAGGAAGAAGCGGAUAGCUGCUAUUUGGAAAGACAAGUAGCGUCCAGCAGCAGCCAGCUGAGUGUGUCCCAGGCACUUCAUGGAGGACGAUUAUGUUGCUACCACCACUCUAGGGUAGGGAUGAGAGGAAGAAGAAAGUCUCGUGCAGCGGGGCGGCAGGGCGAGGGAAGAGAUGCAGUUAACAGAUCCAGAAGAACAUUAAUCAUGAAAAUCACGAUAGAAGAUAGUAAGAGAUGCAACAUUAUGGCGGUUUGGACGGUGCCUCCUCACGGAUGACUUUGGCUCUGGCAUUUGGAAACUGUUACCCAGAGUGGAUGCCUUUCCUAAUCUCGGACCAUGGCAAGGAACCCGUGUGCCUGAGGACUCAUCGGCUCUCAAGUGUUCGCGGAACCACUGUAUCACGCCAGCCCCAUUACCAAAUAAUCACAAUGUGUAUUUGUUAUAAUCCGACUUGUAAAACACUGACAGUUAAGGAUCACCUAGGUGAUUCAAGAUGCCAAGUGUUUUAUUGCUCCUUCUUGGCUAUAAUGUACUGUGUAGACUAUACUGUUGCAGUGGUCGAAUAAACUACCGGCACGCUACAAAUCAUCACCCAAGGCUGUCACGCCGCCCCUAUUCAUAUACCGGAACCUGCACCUUCAUGGCCAAUGCCUCCUAGACCACCCAUAUCCAACCUUUCACUUGAGUAGUUUUGGCAGCGUUGUAUUGAGUUUGGCGAUAAAGAAAUCCUAUGGAUUAAAACCAUCAA